UCUCCGUUGGUGAACCAGCGGAGGGAUCAUUACAGAGUUUUUAACUCCCAAAGCCAUGUGAACUUACCAUUGUUGCCUCGGCGGAGCCUACCCUGUAGCUACCCUGUAGGGUGGUUACCCUGUAGCGCCCCGCCGGUGGAUUUUCAAACUCUUGUUAUUUUAUAGUAAUCUGUGCGUCUUAUUUUAAUAAGUCAAAACUUUCAGCAACGGAUCUCUUGGUUCUGGCAUCGAUGGAGAACGCAGC
rnacentral:misc_RNA from 1 species